rnacentral:tRNA from 1 species
UGGCGCAGUUGGUAGCGCGCCUCGUUCGCAUCGAGGAGGUCAGGAGUUCGAAUCUCC